CAAAACAGUUGCUGAUAACAAAACACAACACACACGUUUUCUCUUUCCCAAAACAAACACACGUUUCUUCUUCUUCUUCCUCUUAUCAUCAUCACCACCGCCAACCCUCUCCCCCCAUCCAUCGGAGACCAAGCAUCUCACCAUCUCCUCUUCACACUCCACACAAACAGACUCCUUCACCGCCUUCUCCUCUUGUUUAAUUGUUUUGUUUGAGAAUGUUGUAAUUUUUUUGUUUAGUAAUGUUUUUGUUAUUAGUGAAUUUUUUUUGUUGAGAAUUGAUUCAUACUUGGUACUUUCUGUGCUUUUAUUCAGUUGCAUUCUUAUUGAUUUUUAUUAUUGAUUAUUGUUCGAUGCUUACUCAAUUUUAUUUCUCAACCAAAUAUAUCGAAACUGUAAAUGUUGUAAGGUGAUGGAUUUGUUGAUGUGUUAGAGGAAG
rnacentral:lncRNA from 1 species